rnacentral:rRNA from 1 species
UACGUAGGGUGCGAGCGUUAAUCGGAAUUACUGGGCGUAAAGCGUGCGCAGGCGGUUUUGUAAGCCGGAUGUGAAAUCCCCGGGCUUAACCUGGGAAUGGCAUUCGGGACUGCAAGGCUGGAGUGCGGCAGAGGAGACUGGAAUUCCUGGUGUAGCAGUGAAAUGCGUAGAUAUCGGGAGGAACACCAGUGGCGAAGGCGGCCUUCUGGACCAGUACUGACGCUCAUGCACGAAAGCGUGGGGAGCAAACAGG